rnacentral:rRNA from 1 species
UCAUGGCUCAGUAACGAACGCUGGCGGCAGGCCUAACACAUGCAAGUCGAACGCCCCGCAAGGGGAGUGGCAGACGGGUGAGUAACACGUGGGAACGUACCCUUCGGUUCGGAAUAACUCAGGGAAACUUGAGCUAAUACCGGAUACGUCCGAGAGGAGAAAGAUUUAUCGCCGAAGGAUCGGCCCGCGUCUGAUUAGCUUGUUGGUGAGGUAACGGCUCACCAAGGCGACGAUCAGUAGCUGGUCUGAGAGGAUGAUCAGCCACAUUGGGACUGAGACACGGCCCAAACUCCUACGGGAGGCAGCAGUGGGGAAUCUUGCACAAUGGAGGAAACUCUGAUGCAGCGAUGCCGCGUGAGUGAAGAAGGCCCUUGGGUUGUAAAGCUCUUUCGUCGGGGAAGAAAAUGACUGUACCCGAAUAAGAAGGUCCGGCUAACUUCGUGCCAGCAGCCGCGGUAAUACGAAGGGACCUAGCGUAGUUCGGAAUUACUGGGCUUAAAGAGUUCGUAGGUGGUUGAAAAAGUUGGUGGUGAAAUCCCAGAGCUUAACUCUGGAACUGCCAUCAAAACUUUUCAGCUAGAGUUUGAUAGAGGAAAGCAGAAUUUCUAGUGUAGAGGUGAAAUUCGUAGAUAUUAGAAAGAAUACCAAUUGCGAACGCAGCUUUCUGGAUCAUUACUGACACUGAGGAACGAAAGCAUGGGUAGCGAAGAGGAUUAGAUACCCUCGUAGUCCAUGCCGUAAACGAUGUGUGUUAGACGUUGGAAAUUUAUUUUCAGUGUCGCAGCGAAAGCGAUAAACACACCGCCUGGGGAGUACGACCGCAAGGUUAAAACUCAAAUGAAUUGACGGGGACCCGCACAAGUAGUGGAGCAUGUGGUUUAAUUCGAAGAUACGCGCAGAACCUUACCAACACUUGACAUGUUCGUCGCGACUCUAAGAGAUUAGAGUUUUCGGUUCGGCCGGACGAAACACAGGUGCUGCAUGGCUGUCGUCAGCUCGUGUCGUGAGAUGUUGGGUUAAGUCCCGCAACGAGCGCAACCCUCACUUUUAGUUGCCAUCAUUAAGUUGGGCACUCUGAAAGAACUGCCAGUGAUAAGCUGGAGGAAGGUGGGGAUGACGUCAAGUCCUCAUGGCCCUUACGUGUUGGGCUACACACGUGCUACAAUGGUAUCUACAACAGGAAGCAAGACUGCGAGGUCAAGCAAAUCCUUAAAAGAUACCUCAGUUCGGAUUGCACUCUGCAACUCGAGUGCAUGAAGCUGGAAUUACUAGUAAUCGUGGAUCAGCGUGCCACGGUGAAUGCGUUCCCGGGUCUUGUACACACCGCCCGUCACACCAUGGGAGUUGGUUCUACCUUAAGGCAAGGUUUCAAACCCUUGACCACGGUAUAGUCAGCGACUGGGGUGAAGUCAUAACAAGGUAGCCGUA